UGGGGCGUCGUCAAGCGGUUAAGACACAGGUUUUUGGUACCUGCAUUCGGAGGUUCGAAUCCUCCCGCCCCAGCCA
rnacentral:tRNA from 1 species